UACGGGGGGGGGCAAGCGUUGUUCGGAUUUACUGGGCGUAAAGCGCACGUAGGCGGAUCGUUAAGUCGGGGGUGAAAUCCUGGAGCUCAACUCCAGAACUGCCUUCGAUACUGGCGAUCUUGAGUCCGGAAGAGGUGAGUGGAACUCCUAGUGUAGAGGUGGAAUUCGUAGAUAUUAGGAAGAACACCAGUGGCGAAGGCGGCUCACUGGUCCGGUACUGACGCUGAGGUGCGAAAGCGUGGGGAGCAAACAGG
rnacentral:rRNA from 1 species